rnacentral:rRNA from 1 species
GUAUUCCGCUCCAUAGCGUAUAUUAAAGUUGCUGCAGUUAAAAAGCUCGUAGUUGGAUUUCGGAACCAAUAUGUUGGUUGUGCCUCGGUACGUACUGGCAUUGUUGGUUUCUCCCUUCUGACGAACUAUGAUGUCAUUAAUUUGGUGUCAUGGGGAAUCAGGACUGUUACCUUGAAAAAAUUAGAGUGUUUAAAGCAGGCUCACGCUUGAAUACAUUAGCAUGGAAUAAUGAAAUAGGACGUUUGAUUCUAUUUUGUUGGUUUCUAGGAUUGACGUAAUGAUUAAUAGGGAUAGUUGGGGGCAUUAGUAUUCAAUUGUCAGAGGUGAAAUUCUUGGAUUUAUUGAAGACUAACUACUGCGAAAGCAUUUGCCAAGGAUGUUUUCAUUAAUCAAGAACGAAAGUUAGGGGAUCGAAGACGUUCAGAUACCGUCGUAGUCUUAACCAUAAACUAUGCCGACUAGGGAUCGGAUGAUGUUAAUUUUUUAAUGACUCAUUCGGCACCUUACGGGAAACA